rnacentral:misc_RNA from 1 species
AUGAAAAAAAGUCUUGGAUGUUGCUGGCAUUCGUUUGCAGGUGCACUCCUUGAACUUUCUUUUGACCCCCCUAUUCACACCUUUUGUGCACGACCCCGUAGGUUGGAAAAACCCCAGCCUAUGUUUUUUCUCCCAUCUCAACACACCUUUGAUAUGUUGAUGAAUGUAGCAUUUGAUUAAUGUAACA